AAAGUUAGUCUAACCAAGAUA
rnacentral:tRNA from 2 species